AAUAGAUACCCCGGUAGUCCACGCCGUAAACGAUGAGUGCUAAGUGUUAGGGGGUUUCCGCCCCUUAGUGCUGCAGCUAACGCAUUAAGCACUCCGCCUGGGGAGUACGACCGCAAGGUUGAAACUCAAAGGAAUUGACGGGGGCCCGCACAAGCGGUGGAGCAUGUGGUUUAAUUCGAAGCAACGCGAAGAACCUUACCAGGUCUUGACAUCCCAAUGACCGCUCUAGAGAUAGAGUUUUCCCUUCGGGGACAUUGGUGACAGGUGGUGCAUGGUUGUCGUCAGCUCGUGUCGUGAGAUGUUGGGUUAAGUCCCGCAACGAGCGCAACCCUUAUUCUUAGUUGCCAUCAUUUAGUUGGGCACUCUAAGGAGACUGCCGGUGACAAACCGGAGGAAGGUGGGGAUGACGUCAAAGUCAUCAUGCCCCUUAUGACCUGGGCUACACACGUGCUACAAUGGACGGUACAAAGAGCUGCGAGCCCGCGAGGGUAAGCCAAGUCUCAUAAAAACCCGUUCUCAGUUCGGAUUGUAGUCUGCAACUCGACUA
rnacentral:rRNA from 1 species